UUAAAUAAAUUGAUUUAAAAUUAAGUUGUUGGUAGUGUAAAAGGCUACCAAGCUGAUGAUUUUUAGCUAGUCUGAGAGGAUGUCUAGCCACAUUAGAACUGAGAUACGGUCUAAACCUUUUCGGAGGGCAGCAGUGAGGAAUAUUAGACAAUGAGCGAUUGCUUGAUCUAGUAAUACUACUCAAGUGAAUGAAGGUUCAGUGAAACUGUAAAACUAUUUUAUAAAAAUUAAAUAAUGAUAUGAUUUUUAAGCAAAAGUCCCGGCAAAUUCUGUGCCAGCAGCCGCGGUAAGACAGGGGGGGCAAGCGUUAUUCUUCUUAACUGGGCGUAAAGGGUGCGUAGGUGGUUUUCGAAAUUAUAUGUAAAAUGCUAGAAAUUAUUUUUAGAAAGUCAUAUAAAAUUAUUAAAACUUGAGUUUAAUAAAGGUUAAUGGAAUUUUUAGUGUAACAGUAAAAUGUGAAAAUAUUAAAAGGAAUAUCGAAGGUGUAAACAAUUUUCUAUAUUAAACUGACACAGAGGCACGAAAGCAUAGGUAGCAAACAGGAUUAGAGACCCUGGUAGUCUAUGCAGUAAACUAUGAUUGUUAAAUGUUAAUUAUUAAUAUUACAGCUAACGCGUUAAACAUUCCGCCUGGGAAGUACGAUCGCAAGGUUGAAACUCAAGGGAAUUGACGGGGGUUCUUCACAAGUGGUGGAGCAUGUAUUUUAAU
rnacentral:rRNA from 1 species